UGUCCGCCUAUCUAUGGGGAUC
rnacentral:snRNA from 1 species